GUUUUCGAUCGGUCACGUGACUCAACAUGGUGCCAUCAAGAGGAAUUAUCUCACAUAAACAGCUUUGAUCUUCACGAUUUCAUGUGAAUGUGGGUGGACAGGCAGGAGAAAAACAAACAGCAGAAGCUACAGUAAACAAAUGAUUUUCAUCCGAGGAUGGACGCGACAGAAACUCCAUCCACAGACGCCACACAUAGCGCGCAAAAGGACAGAGGCACCGAUCUAGACAGGGACAUACAUGCCUUGUAGAAACAUUCAAUCGGUGAUGGAUGGGGAUGACGUGCC